CUCUCCAGUUGCUUUAAGGAUCUAGCUUUUAAGAUUCAUGUUGCUAAAGUUUUCUUUCUUUUUUUCUGUUACAAGACGUAGGGGAAUACAUGUAUCAUAAUUACAUCAAACUGGAAACAAGUCCACAAUCACUAAUAGUCCCACCCAACUAAUAAUCCCAAUAAAUAUAAGGAGAAUUGUCAAGCCCUCGAUUUUAAACUUAAAUAUAAAUAUGAGAAUUGUCAAGCCCUCGAUUUUAAACUUAAAUGAUCAUAAUUAUUCCAUAAAUAAAUAUUGUCAUCUCCAUACAUAGAUACUCAUAAUGACAUGCCAAAGUCUUUUUCUUGAACCGAUAUCCUUUCAAAAUGUACAUUCAAGGGAUCACAACCCCAUAUUUCACGAGUACUAAAAGAGAAAAGGGAGUUAAGGACUUUACAUUUAUCCCAAAGUCAAAAGAUACAAUAAUAAAGUUACAUUCUCAUCUUCCAAAAAUAUGAUUUACAUUAAGAUGACAAAAUAACUCUUCAAGAAGCUUUCAAAGGAAUGUCCGUCCAUGUACAUCAAGCACUCCAUGCUACUGACCUGAUUAGUACCUAAAAGAUGGAAGGAUUGAGCAUACACUUGUCCAAUAGAAAAAUCUCCAACUAACUCUAAAAGAAUAUGAGACAACAUGUGCCAAGGAAUCGUAACAUAAAUGAUGAAAUAUGAAUAAUCUAGGACACAUAGCACUAUCAUGAAUUUGAACCACAGAACUCACAAGCCAGCCCACAAUGCCAUUUUGAGUAAAACAAGAGUGCACGGUGUCACCAUAAGUCUUAAGAACAUACACUAGAAACCACAGAAUUUGUGCGCACACACAUACGCCUUUAAUUUAAUAAUCUCAGUUUUGCAUCAACCCUAUCCCUUUUUAUUAAGUUUCCGUUUCAACAUGAAUACUUCAUGAGUGAUUCCUAGCGACACACCCGUAGGUGGACCUAGUUAUGUUCCUAGAGACACACCCGAAGGUGGACCUAGAACUAUUCCAAGUAUUUGGGACCCUGUAUGCCCCCCUCUGGCCGAAGAUAAGAGCUUGUGAAGCUUGUUCCUAAUGACACACCUGAUGGUGGACCUAGAGACAUUCCGGGUAUUUGGGACCCCGGAUAUCCCUUCCAUGCAUUGGGUAUCCAUGUUCCAAUUUCAAGAGGAAAAAAAAACCAUUACACUUCGCUUGUUCUCAUUUCUCAAUAGGUCAAAUUCAUGUCACCACUUAUCAAAUAUGUAUUUAAGAGCUCAAUCUCAUGCAAAUAAGUAGAAACAAUCCAACUAAUACGAACCACGACCUUAAAAUCCACACCAUAGCAAUUUUUCAAAAAAUUCUGUAGUUAGUACCGGUAGGAGGAGAACAGUGGUACCAGUAGCAAAAUCUCUGGAUUUCAGUUUUGGACGAUUGCUUCUGGUAGGACCAAAAACAUGGUACCAGUAGAGAAAGUCAAUGUUUUCAGGUCUGGAGUAUUGCUACCGGUAGGAGGAAAAAGGCGGUACCAAUAGCACCUAGGUUUUUCAGAAACGCGAUUUCAAGUUUGACAAAUUUUCACCCAACAAGAAAAGGGACGAUCAAACACCAAAAUCAACACCAAAUCAACACAAACACUCCAAGCAAGCCCUAAAAUCCGAACUUGAAAUCCACCAAGAAUGCUCCCUCCAAGCUAGAUUUGAUGAAGCCCACUGAGAUUUAGAGUCUAGGUCGCAAGAAUGUGAGGAUAUGGGGUUGGGUUUUCAAGGAUUUUGAAGUAUUGGAGAAGAUCCAAGAGUGAGGGAGAGUGAGAGUGCCAAGAGUGAGAGAACGGGAGGGAGAGAGUGUGAGAACGUGGUAGGUGGGAGAAAAAAGGAGAAAGUGAAUUUCCCUUGUCUUGAGGUUUGGUUUAUAAAGGACCAAUCACACUCACACCUCUCAACUAUUAAACCGCCUCAUCAAGUCCCACAAUUUACACACAACUACACAACAACCCCCACCACAUUAUCCACAAUAAAAGGCUCAAUCAUGUAUUAAAAUCAUAAAGUAAAGAAUUUAAAUCACGGGUCUCUACAAUAAUAACACCCACACAAAGGUGGGGAGUUUCAAACACCUGACCUCCUAGAGAGAUGUAGGAGCCCUGGCCAACUGGACUUGCCCCAGUUGUUUGUUGCUAAAAUUUUCUUUGUUUAUAUCCAACUGUUGCACACUUUUUUAAUAUACUUUUCUUGUAAUCAAGCCAAGAUUGUACCCUGUGCGUGUAGGUGAAUGAAUGCAUGGCUGUGCCCCUGGCUGUACCCUAAACUUCAUUUGAUUAGUCACUCGUCGUUUUCUCCUGUAUCAUUAUAGGGAAUCUCUCUUGCAUCUAUGCACUUCAUUUACUUGUCUUCUCCUUUCUCUUUCGCAGUCAUCAUCACUUUAUUGGUGACACAAGUUUCUCACAUAUUUUCUAGUAACCAAUAGUAUUAGCAUUUUUCUUCAUCUUCGUGUAAAGUAACUAUAGUUUAGAAGGCUUUUUUUUUUUUUUUGGGUGUAACUUCUCUUUCAACUGUUCAAACUAAGAGCUCUUUCUGCGGUUCCCCUACCUUCACUAUUGAUUUUCCACAAAACACUAAGAGAAGGCAUUUCUUCAUGUCUCUUUCUCUUGAUAUUUUUGUCGUUUUCUUGAUUUUUUUGCCUUUGCUGUGUUCUUUUGUAUGCAGCAGGUAGCUAGUUGUAACUCAUGACAUUAUUCUGCUUACCACAUGUGGUUUUAUUUUGCUUUAAUGCACUGUGUUUAUUUUGCUUUCAUUCAUUACGAGCUCCAUUCGAUUUGUGGCCUACCCCAUAAAUUGCAAAUGCAAUUGUUGUCCAUAUCUUAAGGAAAAGAAGUAUCAGCAAUGUUGUGCAUAGAAGCUUUGAGAAAAGUAUCCUUCUUCUUGACUCUUGGACUAACAUUGUCAACGCAAUGUGCCUAAUUUUCCUACACAAGGGUUGAUGUACAUCAGGUUCAAUAAUUACCCUGUAGGGGUCAACUCCAUUAUGGAAGUGGGCAAGUUCUUUCAUUGUUCCGUGUUCUAUUAUUUGAUUCCUUGCCAAUCCAAUUUAGAUACAGAAGGCUGUUGUCCUUGUCUUUCCUAUUCUUUCUUUUUUAUGUACCGAGCGAAGCAUUCCAAACAGUACUUUGAGUUUAUUCAAGUUCAUUAGAGAUGAACUUUCCACCAUUCAGUUGCCAGUGUCUGCAUAAGUUAUCAAUUGUUACCAGCAUUGAACCCAGC